UACGGACCGGACAAACGUUAUUCGGAAUCACUGGGCUUAAAGAGUACGUAGGCGGCCCCGCAAGUUGGGUGUGAAAUCCCUCGGCUCAACCGAGGAAUUGCGCCCAAAACUGCUGGGCUUGAGGAAGGUAGAGGUGAGCGGAACUGAUGGUGGAGCGGUGAAAUGCGUUGAUAUCAUCAGGAACACCGGUGGCGAAGGCGGCUCACUGGGCCUUUUCUGACGCUGAGGUACGAAAGCUAGGGUAGCGAACGGG
rnacentral:misc_RNA from 1 species